CACAUGCAAGUCGAGCGGAGACAGUGAGUAGCUUGCUAUGAGCUGUUUUAGCGGCGGACGGGUGAGUAACGCGUGAGCAACCUUUCCCAGACAGGGGAAUAACACACCGAAAGGUGUACUAAUACCGCAUAAGACCACGGGAUCACAUGGUUCUGGGGUAAAAGAUUUAUCGGUUUGGGGUGGGCUCGCGUCCGAUUAGGUAGUUGGUGAGGUAACGGCCCACCAAGCCGACGAUCGGUAGCCGACCUGAGAGGGUGAUCGGCCACAUUGGGACUGAGACACGGCCCAAACUCCUACGGGAGGCAGCAGUGGGGAAUAUUGGGCAAUGGGGGGAACCCUGACCCAGCAACGCCGCGUGGAGGAAGAAGGUUUUCGGAUCGUAAACUCCUGUCCUUGGAGACGAGUAGAAGACGGUAUCCAAGGAGGAAGCCCCGGCUAACUACGUGCCAGCAGCCGCGGUAAUACGUAGGGGGCAAGCGUUGUCCGGAAUAAUUGGGCGUAAAGGGCGCGUAGGCGGCUCGGUAAGUCUGGAGUGAAAGUCCUGCUUUUAAGGUGGGAAUUGCUUUGGAUACUGUCGGGCUUGAGUGCAGGAGAGGUUAGUGGAAUUCCCAGUGUAGCGGUGAAAUGCGUAGAGAUUGGGAGGAACACCAGUGGCGAAGGCGACUAACUGGACUGUAACUGACGCUGAGGCGCGAAAGUGUGGGGAGCAAACAGGAUUAGAUACCCUGGUAGUCCACACUGUAAACGAUGAAUGCUAGGUGUAGGGGGUAUCGACCCCUUCUGUGCCGCAGUCAACACAAUAAGCAUUCCGCCUGGGGAGUACGGCCGCAAGGUUGAAACUCAAAGGAAUUGACGGGGGCCCGCACAAGCAGCGGAGCAUGUGGUUUAAUUCG
rnacentral:rRNA from 1 species